rnacentral:rRNA from 1 species
UACAGAGGGUGCGAGCGUUGUCCGGAAUCACUGGGCGUAAAGCGCGCGCAGACGGUCCUUUAAGUCUGAUGUGAAAGCCCACGGCUCAACCGUGGAGGGUCAUUGGAAACUGGAGGACUUGAGUACAGAAGAGGAAAGUGGAAUUCCACGUGUAGCGGUGAAAUGCGUAGAGAUGUGGAGGAACACCAGUGGCGAAGGCGACUUUCUGGUCUGUAACUGACGUUGAGGCGCGAAAGCGUGGGGAGCAAACAGG